CAAGGUUACCUCCUCACAGCAUUGGCACAUCUUCAUCUUCAUUGUUUGGCACUUCCAGAAAUUUCCUUUUAGAAUUGAAACCAUUGGCUAUGGUCCUGUGGAGCCCCAGGAGCAGCAGUGACCUGAGGGGAACCAGGAUAAACCCAUCAGAGACUCAAGUUUCCAGAGGACACAGGGACCAAGUCCUCAGCUGCAUGGCAGAUCAAGAGAGUGAGGUCUCCUGGAGGGAACAGGGUUGUUGAGAAGUCUGGUAUCUGCCACAGCUCACUGAUUCA